ACUGUGGGUUGAGGGAUAAGAGGGCUGACAUGCUACGAUGAACAGAGAAGACAAAUUAGAGUUUUGGACAUAAGUUCCAACACCACCUCUUGGACAAAGCCUGAUCUAGUGUGUGUUUCUUUGCGAUGGAUGAGCUUUGAGGUUUGUGUGACGGUAGGCCUGGACGCCGGUUGAUUUUGGCUCUUUGGGCUCUUCUAAUUUGCUUUAGGGAUUCUAAUUGGCUAGGAAGCUUGAGCUUUGUCUGAUCCCCGGACUAGUAGUAAUGCAAGACGAUGAGACCAUUCGAGCCCCCUCUGAAGCUGCGGUGACUUCUUUACGUACACCAGGAGUAGAUGAAUUAAGGCAGCUUUGGUGUGAGUCUCGCGAUGUUGGUUCAGAGGUUGUUUGACUCGUGAAAUACUAUGGAGUCAAGCUUGGGUACACACCCAGAGUGUAAUUAAGUUGGUUGGAUUGCGAAAAGGAUGUGAAGGGAUACAAGGGAGCGGAUUUUAAGAUGUUCAAAACUAGGGUAGCAGCAGAGGAAUUUGUCCAAGGGUUUUCAGACCAAGUCUAUUUCAACCAAGUUCGAACUUUGUUCUUAGUCAGAGGCCCUUCGCCUCUACUUGGUGGUUUAGAUAACAUGUCCGCGGGUUGUUCCUGCAUGUUUGCGUAAACUACGUUGAUUGUACCAGAUUCUAUUUUCUGUCUAGUAAGAUGUCAAUUCGUAUCAAAAUGUUUGGUUUUAUCAUGGAAUACCAGAUUGUGAUAUUAUAAUUCCAUUUUGUUUGUCACAUCCUAAGAUGGUUGGGCCCGUACCUGGAAUUUGAAAUUCUUGUUACAGUCUUCGUAAUCAUAUGGCUUUACACGUGCAGUUGGCUAGUGCUCCGUAUUCCAACUCGCACGAUGAGCGCGCCGUUGAUGUUUGUUUGCGGGAGCUCCAGGAGAUCGGUGAGAUGCCAAGGUAGAAUAGGCAGGCGGAUGUGGAUAUAAAAUAGUCGGGGUCUUGUGCAAAGUUUGCGUCGGAGAAGCCUUUUAGACGAGUUUCCUCCCCAGCUUUGUAGGAAAUGCCGAGAAAUGGGUGGCGGCGGACGUAUCGCAAGAAGCCGCAUGCGGCUUGAAGGUGAGCUUGCUGGGAUGCGUUUGUAUACCGGCUGUUCAGUUCGACGGCGAAAGCAAGUUCGGGCCGCGUUUUGGUGAGCUAAUGGAGCUGUCCGAUUAAGGCUCGAUAUAAUAGAAUGUCACAAAACGGGGUUCUGAUGUCCUUGCUGAGUUUGGUACCUUCAUGUAGGACAGAUGAGAAGCUUCCAUUUAGAAUUGUGUGAGAAGAUUGUGAGCGUAGCUUGUUUGAUGAAGAAGGAGACCAACGGUACUGGUGGAGUACUCAACUCCCAGAAAACGCCAAAUGGGGCCGAGAUUCGUCAUUACAAAUUUGUGAUGCAACUGUUGUUUUAACUCUAAAAUGAGAGAUAUAGACAUGCCGGUGAUUUUUACGCCGUCCACAUAUAACAGGAGGAUGACUGCGGGAGUCAUGGCGGUAGUAUGCAUUUGGGUCGGCCUGAGAAAGGAGCAUCUUUUUGCGUUGUAAGUAGCUGUCUAUGUAGGAGUACCAUGCGUGGGGACUUUGUUUCAAACCGUACAACGAUCGGUGUAUGCGGUAGACCAUAUGUUCGUGGCUAGGAAGGACAACACCGGGAGGUUUUUGAAGAUAGACCUCCUUGUCAAGAUGGUCGUUAAAAAAGCGGUUUAUACAAUGAGCUAAUGAAUCGGCCAGCAAUUAUCGGAAGCAAUAGCAGCGACGGUAUUGAUAGUCUCCCAACGGACUACCAAGACAAAGAUCUCUCGGUAAUAUAUUCCACGUUGCUGUUAAAAACUCCUGCCGAUGAGACGCGCCUUGUAUGGCGUCGAAGAACCAUCAAGUCCAGGUUUCAGUUUAAAGAUCUAUCGCGCUGUUAUCAAGCGUUUACUAGAGGGUAAUGAAACAAGAGACUACGUGUGGUUGUCGUGUAUGGAUUGAAGUUCCAAAGUCAUGGCGCGCUGCCAGUGAGGGUUGCGAGAGGCCUCCAAAAAAGAGAUAUUUUCCCCACCUUCCAUGUUGCAUGCAACUGCCUUGGAGUAAGCACUAAAGUCAUUAAAUCUUGCAAGAGGUUGGCAAUCGCGGCGGGGACGCUGAGAAAGAGAUGGGGGGACCACGAGCGUAGGCACACAGGAGACACUCGGGUCUAUCGGUGCUGGUGCAGGAAUUAGGUGUGGAGACCGAGGUUGCGGUGAAGGUGGAGCCGGUGUAUCCUGGACAAAGAAUAGAAUAUGCGGUGGUGUGGGAGCAGCAUCGCUUAGGUGUGCCGUAAGGAGGAUCGCGAUUCCAUCAGAUGUUGAAGAUGAAGACGGACUGUUAUAUCAGCUUUGCGACAUACCCAAAAGAUCUGUCGCAGCGGAUCCGAAAAUGCGGAGAUGAGCCACGGUGGGUUUAGUUCCUGUGAAGAUCUCCUCGGGCUCUUAUCUGGGCUAGUUUUAAAUGGGCGCAGGUUGAGGAUGAGGGUGGCAGCCCGAACAGCCUCACUCCGAAAGUGAGGCGGCAGUUUUCUAUCAAGCAAGAGAAAUCAAACAAUGUCCUGCAGGGACCAAUUCCGGCGUUCUGCAACGCCAUUGGAAUGUGGGGUAUAAGACUGCGUAAGCUCACGAGUGAUGCCGGCUGCCAAUAAGAAGCUGGUGAAUGAUUUUGACAAGUAUUCGCCUCCGUUGUUGGUGCAGAGUGUACAAAUGUUUUGUCUAGAAGAGUUCUUGAUCUCUGCUUUAAAUUGUCGGAACUUUUGAAAAGUAUUGGUCUUGUAUUGCAUGAAGUAAGUUCAAAGUUUUUUUAAAUAAUUGUCAAUAAAAGUCAUUAAGUAAUAUGCGCCACCUAAAGGAUUGUACAGGAAAGAGGCCACAGGUGUCGGAGUGGUUGGUUUUGAGAAUUCCAGAGGCGCAAUGCUGAGCUAAUCUCAAAAUCUUUUUUCUAUUCUGCUUACCGAGAAGACAGGUUUUACAAGGGCUAGAAGGUCCUGAAAAGGUGGGGAGUCCGAGAACGAUUCGAUGCUGAGUCAUUCUGGAUAAUCCCCUUGUGUGAUAAUGUUCAAGGCGGGCAUGCCAUAUGUUUGUUAUGUUUGAUUUGGGGCAGCAGUGGAGAACUUUGACGUGGCCGAUGAUGUUGGAUUACGUUGAUGUGAUCUGUUAUCAACUAUUGUGGAUAGAUCGAGUUGAUACAACCCAUUGCCACGAUCUCGUUUGGCAUAUGUGACUAGGGAGUGAUCUUGCCGUCGACAAAUAAAGCACCUUUUCGCGACGAACUCAAGACUCGUGUCUUUUCAGCUACAUAGCCAACAGAGAUUAGAUUUUUUACAUUUCUAUGGAUUUUAUUCAUUGAUCAUAGAUAAAUUGCCGAUUGCUGUCACUGAAUGACUGUGUCCACUUACAGAUCGGACUCUAUGACCGCUGGAAGGACGCACAGAAGAGAAAGCAUGGUGAUUGCCUAUGAUGUGGUUGGAUGAGCCAUAAUCCAAAUACCACUUAAUCUUGGAAUUGCUAGAAUCUACAGAAUUAAUUUCCAAUUGAGAGAAGCAAGCAUUGGCUACUUGAUGGGCGAUGACGUCGUCAUGUUGAUAGAAAUCCCCUCCGCUGGACGACAAGGAUUAUUCGAUUUCGACUUGAUGUGCUUAUUUAUCCAUGGUGUGAGUGCGUUGCUUUUGUAAUAACCAAUGCUCUCAGUCAUUCGCCCUGUUGAUAUGAGCUUUGGUGUCACACUCGCAUUCAAAGUGACUCGCCUCACCACAAAAGUUGCAGCAGUCGGGUAAUCGGGGCCGCCGGCCUUGAAGCGGGGUUGGUACGAUGAGAUUGAACCUAUCUGGUUUUAAUCCUCGCAAUAGAGAUUUUAGAUUCCACAUCCUAGUAACAUGGGAGCUUGUCGCAAUGCAGUGUCAUUCUCUUAAAAAAUG